GCUCGUUAGAACAAGGUCAGUCAGAGAAACUAUAAGAAAACACUGUUGGACAGAUUGUCCUUUCUGCUGGAUUAGCCUCCAGUGAAAAUAGUACUGGUACUACUACUACUUUAAAAAAAACCAAACCAACAAAGCCCAACGCUUUAGAGUUCACUCACUGAGAAGUUUGAUACAUUUUUCUGAAGAAAUCAAAGUGUUCAAAGCUGACUGGCCAACUGUACACUCCAGCCAGGAAUAAAAGAAUAGGACUGGCUUUUUUGUUCUUGUGUUUUGGACACAGGGACAUAAUUAAGAGCAAUGGCUGGGGGCUUUCAUAUUGUGCCACUUGAACUGGAAUUCCUGGACGAGUGCAAGAUGAACUAAAACAAAAUCAUUUGCCAAGAAUCUUUUCAUUAAUCAAGAAC
rnacentral:ncRNA from 1 species